GGGGGGGGGGUUGAAUAUUUCGACCCUGAGGUCGGACUUCCCUCCUAAAUCAUGUUUAUGACUCAGUAAGCUCCCCAUCCCUCGCUUGUCUCCUGGGAUUUGCUCUAUGUUUAGGUAAUUCACUGGGUGAUUAAGAUUUGUUAAAAUCUAUAUUGAUUGUGUAUAUGAUUUGUAUUGAGGUAUCUAGCCGGGGAAUUUGUACAAAAUAAAAAGAUAUGCGAUUAAAAAGCAUAUUUCAUUUAAAAUAAUCGCUAUGCAAAAGAAGUUUAUUGAUCAAGCAAUGCGGUGAGGGAAUACUAUUAAGUUGCUUCUUGAGGGCCAUUGUUAAUCGCUUCCGUUAGUAGAAGCAUUGAACGGUAUGGAGCGUGACCUAAAUCAUGAAAACAAGACAAACUACUUCCAAUAUUCUGGACUGUAUAGCGAGACUAUUUAUGAGAAGAAAUAUAUAUUCAGUAAAAAAUAUGUAACUAAAUAAAAAAAUGAAUUAAUUGAUAUUGUUUUUUCCAUUAAAGAAGGUCUGUUUAUACAGGGAAGUGUUCCCUAUGGUUUAUAGAUGGUAUAAGUACUGGGUUGUAAUCCAAGAGCAUCUACUUUUUCAAUGUUUUCAUAUUUAUGGGAAAACAACAAAACAAAGGAGUUUACAAACUGACAAACUGAACAUAUUGAAUAUUCAAUGUACAAGCAUGAGGCCUUAUCCACUGACCACGUCCAGUGACGAAAACUUUGUAGGUAUAAGCUGCGCUCUCACUUUUGUUAAGCGCAAGUGACUUUUGUGAACCUGUAAAUAUCUUUUCACAUGGGCAACGUCAAUGGGAUUGAAUUGAUGUCCAGGAAAAAAGUCAUGAAGUCGGUGCUAAGGACCUAUAGGAUAUAUCUACUUUUACUGCAUUGUUUUUGUGUAUAAUGUUGUUACAUUAGACUAUUGCGACUCUCUGUUCCACUCGACUGCGUAGAACGUUUAAAGACGAUUACAGACUUUGAGGCGUGCUGCACAAGGCCCGUCAAAUACACACAACCAGGUCCAACACGGCAAAAAAGUGUUUAGUUGUCUAACAACCAGACACCAAGUGGUAUGUAUGUGCACUGUUUUGCGAUAGGAUAACUAUACAUAUAAAGUAAGGGGUGGUUUAUUUUUUUUAGUCCUAUUGCUCCGACGUCUAUUUCACAAAUUGUCUUUUGAAAUGAGAAGAGACAAAACAUCCCUUUAAGAUACACUGCAUAGUGGUUUUGAUAACGCCUCCGCGAUCCGCGACACAUCUGUCAAUUAGAUACGACCAUUGAUAUGCAUUGGCAAUGAAGUGUAGCUCGUGCUCUACUCGCCUUUUUUUUAGAUCAAAUGUUUGUUAUCUUUUAAGCCGAAUAAAAGAGUAAGGCUAAAUUCAAACGUCGUAUUAUCCAAUGCAAAUGAAUCAGGUCGACUAUUUCCUCUGCAUGCAUUUGCAUUGAAUACGGCUCACGGAAAAUAUGACGGUCGAACUUAGCCCUAAACACCCGCGUCCAUUCCCCGUGAACUACUAGACAGAGAAAAAUAAGUUAUCUUCAUGUUGGAAUGGGACCAUUCCAACACCCAGAUUUUCAAAUCCGCGUAUUUUAUUAACCAUUUAUACCACCAGAUAAGGAUAUUUUUAACGUUUGAAACGCCUACGAAACCCUCCGUUGAUUUAUUUUCCUGCAACAACGCCUUCGUUUUAAUACAGUUUUUUUGUAGUCUUUCUACUUUUACAUAAUCUGGCUAUAACGUUGCUACUUUAGAAUGGAUGUGUAUGCCUGGCUUUGUGCCGCAGGAAACGACAUCCAUUUCAACAAAGUGUCAAAAGUAUUUAUCUUUAGUGCCCACCCGUAGGACGAAUAUUAGAAAGUGAAAAGGUGAUGGUGAGUGGGCUAAUACGAUUGUGAUAACAGCGAGCUCUGGCUGGAGGGUGAACGAGUGGCAAUAAGAGUAAACACCCGCGAAAAAAAACCUAGAGAUUAAGAACCAACAGGCUGAAAUUGAACAUCAACCUGGUAGGAAGAUUAUAGGUUCUUUUUAAAAAGACAGUUUAAAAUGUGAUUUACGGCUUAAAAAAUAUAUACUUCUCAUGAACGUUUGGUGCAUUGUGUGUGACAAUUGCUGAGUAACAAACUUCAAGAAUGGAGUCGCCGUAUAUUAAAAGCGCACUAUAAGACGAUUGGCGUCACAUUAAGAGGCUGAUGCUUUGUUGCCCCUGGCAAGAUCUACCAGGCGCCACAAACCACAGGGAGUCAGUCAACAUUCAUCGUGCAUUAGCUUCAACAGACUUCUUGAAGUACUUCUAAUGGUGACUGGCGCUGCCGCCUUCACUGUGACAAAUGCAUAAUAAAAAGAACAGGAAGUUUCAUCCAAUCAAUUGAGAUAUUGAUCAAGUUUCAUUUGAACUUUGAUUGAAAUGAUAAUUUCGUUGUCGCUUUCUCCGCCAUGAGAAAAAAAGAACACUGUAACAAAAAGGUGACUGCACUUUGGAAUGUUUUAAAUGUUGUAAAUAAGUGGUAGAAUGGUGCGAUAAACAUGACGCAUUCCAAAACAUUAGAUGAUGAAGGCUGGACUUGAUCGACAAUCAUCUAUUUGUUUCUAUUUUGUUUCUUGAUCGACAAUCAUCUAUUUUGCAAAAAUAA